UGGGGAAUAUUGCACAAUGGGCGGAAGCCUGAUGCAGCGACGCCGCGUGGGGGAUGAAGGCCUUCGGGUUGUAAACUCCUUUCGACAGGGACGAAGCUUUUGUGACGGUACCUGUAUAAGAAGCACCGGCUAACUACGUGCCAGCAGCCGUGGUAAUACGUAGGGUGCGAGCGUUGUCCGGAAUUACUGGGCGUAAAGAGCUCGUAGGUGGUUUGUCGCGUCGUCUGUGAAAUUCCGGGGCUUAACUCCGGGCGUGCAGGCGAUACGGGCUGACUUGAGUGCUGUAGGGGAGACUGGAAUUCCUGGUGUAGCGGUGAAAUGCGCAGAUAUCAGGAGGAACACCGAUGGCGAAGGCAGGUCUCUGGGCAGUAACUGACGCUGAGGAGCGAAAGCAUGGGUAGCGAACAGG
rnacentral:rRNA from 1 species